CGGGGUGCAGCAGGCGCGAAAACUUUGCAAUAAGCGAAAGCUUGACAGGGCUAUCCCGAGUGCCAUCCGCUGAGGAAGGCUUUUACCCAGUCUAGAACGCUGGGGGAAUAAGGAGAGGGCAAGUCUGGUGUCAGCCGCCGCGGUAAUACCAGCUCUCCGAGUGGUGUGGAUGUUUAUUGGGCCUAAAGCAUCCGUAGCUGGCUAGGUUAGUCCCCUGUUAAAUCCACCGAAUUAAUCGUUGGAUUGCGGGGGAUACUGCUUGGCUAGGGGACGAGAGAGGCAGACGGUAUUUCCGGGGUAGGGGUGAAAUCCUAUAAUCCCGGGAAGACCACCAGUGGCGAAGGCUGUCUGCUAGAACGCGCCCGACGGUGAGGGAUGAAAGCUGGGGGAGCGAACCGGAUUAGAUACCCGGGUAGUCCCAGCUGUAAACGAUGCAGACUAGGUGUUUGGACGGCCACGUGCCGUUCUAGUGCCGCAGGGAAGCUGUUAAGUCUGCCGCCUGGGGAGUACGAUCGCAAGAUUGAAACUUAAAGGAAUUGGCGGGGGAGCAC
rnacentral:rRNA from 1 species